UGACCUCGGAUCAGGUAGGAGUACCCGCUGAACUUAAGCAUAUCAAUAAGCGGAGGAAAAGAAACCAACAGGGAUUGCCUCAGUAACGGCGAGUGAAGCGGCAAAAGCUCAAAUUUGAAAUCUGGCACCUCUGGGUGUCCGAGUUGUAAUUUGGAGAGGAUACUUCGGGCAUGGUUGCAGCAUAAGUCCCUUGGAACAGGGUGUCAUAGAGGGUGAGAAUCCCGUCUUAAGUUGUUAACCAUGUCCAUGCGAAGUUCCUUCGACGAGUCGAGUUGUUUGGGAAUGCAGCUCUAAGUGGGUGGUAAAUUUCAUCUAAAGCUAAAUAUUGGCCAGAGACCGAUAGCGAACAAGUAGAGUGAUCGAAAGGUUAAAAGCACCUUGAAAAGGGAGUUAAAUAGCACGUGAAAUUGUUGAAAGGGAAGCGCUUGCAACCAGACUCGGUCACAGGGGCUCAGCAGGCAUGCGUGCCUGUGUACUCCCCUGUGUUCGGGCCAGCAUCAGUUCUGGCGGUUGGUUAAAGGCCCUUGGAAUGUAUCGUCCUCCGGGACGCCUUAUAGCCAAGGGUGUAAUGCGGCCAGCCGGGACUGAGGAACGCGCUUCGGCACGGAUGCUGGCAUAAUGG
rnacentral:rRNA from 1 species